rnacentral:rRNA from 1 species
GACGAACGCUGGCGGCGUGCUUAACACAUGCAAGUCGAACGGAAAGGCCUGCUUUCCCUUGUGGAUUGCGGGUACUCGAGUGGCGAACGGGUGAGUAACACGUGAGUGAUCUGCCCCCAACUUGGGUAUAAGCCUGGGAAACUGGGUCUAAUUCCCGAUAGGACUGCAGGGUGGUGCCUGUGGUGGAAAACGAUUUUCUAGUGGUUGGGGAUGAGCUCGCGGCCUAUCAGCUUGUUGGUGGGGUAAUGGCCCACCAAGGCGGCGACGGGUAGCCGGCCUGAGAGGGUGGACGGCCACAUUGAGACGGAGUUACGGCCCGGACUCCUACGGAAGGCAGCAGUGGGGAAUAUUACACGAUGGGCGGAAGCCUAAUGCGGCGACGCCGCGUGGGGGAUGACGGCCUUCGGGUUGUAAACUCCUUUCGACCGCGAGGAAGCCACCUGGUUGGAAGGGUGGUGACGGUAGUGGUAGAAGAAGCACCGGCUAACUACGUG